rnacentral:tRNA from 1 species
GGAGGGUAGAGCUCAGUGGUAGAGUGUGUGCUUAGCAUGCACAAGGUCCUGGGUUCAAUCCCCAGUACCUCCA